rnacentral:rRNA from 1 species
CUGGCUCAGGACGAACGCUGGCGGCGUGCUUAACACAUGCAAGUCGAACGGGGCGAAGUGAUAGCUUGCUAUUAUGGAGCCUAGUGGCAAACGGGUGAGUAACGCGUAGGCAACCCGCCCUUCAGAUGGGGACAACACCUCGAAAGGGGUGCUAAUACCGAAUGACGUUUCCUGGUCGCAUGACCUGGAAACCGAAGGCCGGGCAACCGGUCACUGAAGGAUGGGCCUGCGUCUGAUUAGCUAGUUGGUGGGGUAACGGCCCACCAAGGCGACGAUCAGUAGCCGGUCUGAGAGGAUGAACGGCCACAUUGGGACUGAGACACGGCCCAAACUCCUACGGGAGGCAGCAGUGGGGAAUCUUCCGCAAUGGGCGCAAGCCUGACGGAGCAACGCCGCGUGAGUGAAGAAGGUUUUCGGAUCGUAAAGCUCUGUUGAGAGGGACGAGAGAUAUAAUCAGGAAAUGGGUUAUAGAGGACGGUACCUUUCGAGGAAGCCACGGCUAACUACGUGCCAGCAGCCGCGGUAAUACGUAUGUCGCAAGCGUUAUCCGGAUUUAUUGGGCGUAAAGCGCGUCUAGGCGGUUUGGUAAGUCUGAUGUGAAAAUGCGGGGCUCAACUCCGUAUUGCGUUGGAAACUGUCAAACUAGAGUACUGGAGAGGUGGGCGGAACUACAAGUGUAGAGGUGAAAUUCGUAGAUAUUUGUAGGAAUGCCGAUGGGGAAGCCAGCCCACUGGACAGAUACUGACGCUAAAGCGCGAAAGCGUGGGUAGCAAACAGGAUUAGAUACCCUGGUAGUCCACGCCGUAAACGAUGAUUACUAGGUGUUGGGGGUCGAACCUCAGCGCCCAAGCUAACGCGAUAAGUAAUCCGCCUGGGGAGUACGUACGCAAGUAUGAAGCUCAAAGGAAUUGACGGGGACCCGCACAAGCGGUGGAGCAUGUGGUUUAAUUCGACGCAACGCGAGGAACCUUACCAGCGUUUGACAUCCUAAGAAAUUAGCAGAGAUGCUUUUGUGCCCCUUCGGGGGAACUUAGUGACAGGUGGUGCAUGGCUGUCGUCAGCUCGUGUCGUGAGAUGUUGGGUUAAGUCCCGCAACGAGCGCAACCCCUUUCGUAUGUUGCCAUCAUUAAGUUGGGCACUCAUGCGAUACUGCCUGCGAUGAGCAGGAGGAAGGUGGGGAUGACGUCAAGUCAUCAUGCCCCUUAUACGCUGGGCUACACACGUGCUACAAUGGGUAGUACAGAGAGUCGCAAACCUGCGAGGGGGAGCUAAUCUCAGAAAACUAUUCUCAGUUCGGAUUGUACUCUGCAACUCGAGUACAUGAAGUUGGAAUCGCUAGUAAUCGCAAAUCAGCUAUGUUGCGGUGAAUACGUUCUCGGGUCUUGCACUCACCGCCCGUA